GCGGCAGGCCUAACACAUGCAAGUCGAGCGGCAGCGACAACAUUGAACCUUCGGGGAUUGUUGAGCGGCGAGCGGCGGACGGGUGAGUAAUGCCUAGGAAAUUGCCCUGAUGUGGGGAUAACCAUUGGAACGAUGGCUAAUACCGCAUGAUGCCUACGGGCCAAAGAGGGGGACCUUCGGGCCUCUCGCGUCAGGAUAUGCCUAGGUGGGAUUAGCUAGUUGGUGAGGUAAGGGCUCACCAAGGCGACGAUCCCUAGCUGGUCUGAGAGGAUGAUCAGCCACACUGGAACUGAGACACGGUCCAGACUCCUACGGGAGGCAGCAGUGGGGAAUAUUGCACAAUGGGCGCAAGCCUGAUGCAGCCAUGCCGCGUGUAUGAAGAAGGCCUUCGGGUUGUAAAGUACUUUCAAUAGGGAGGAAGGUUCAUACGUUAAUAGCGUAUGGAUUUGACGUUACCUACAGAAGAAGCACCGGCUAACUCCGUG
rnacentral:rRNA from 1 species